rnacentral:rRNA from 1 species
GAUGAACGCUGGCGGCGUGCCUAAUACAUGCAAGUCGUACGGAAAGGCCCUUCGGGGUACUCGAGUGGCGGACGGCUGAGUAACGCGUGGGAACGUGCCCCAAAGUGAGGGAUAACGCACCGAAAGGUGUGCUAAUACCGCAUAUGGUCUUCGGAUUAAAGCUUCGGCGCUUUGGGAGCGGCCCGCGUACGAUUAGAUAGUUGGUGAGGUAAUGGCUCACCAAGUCGACGAUCGUUAGCUGGUCUGAGAGGAUGAUCAGCCAGACUGGGACUGCGACACGGCCCAGACUGCUACGGGAGGCAGCAGUAAGGAAUCUUCCACAAUGGGGGCAACCCUGAUGGAGCAACGCCGCGUGCAGGAUGAAGGUUUUCGGAUCGUAAACUGCUUUUAUAAGUGAAGAAUAUGACGGUAACUUAUGAAUAAGGACCGGCUAACUACGUGCCAGCCGCCGCGGUAA